UCUUUUUAUGAUUGACAAGGUUUGCUUUGGUUUCAAUAAACAUUUUCUAAUUGUCAGCAAAUUGAUAGCCAAUUUUCAUAAAUUUUGUGAGUUUGAUCACCAAUGGAGUUGAGAAAAGUGUGUGUAUGGAAUAAGGAUGGGUGUUGGAUUCUUUAAUUCGAACAGGACAAAGACAGGACUACACUAAGAAAAGUAAUGGAUUUCUGAUAAAGAUCACAGAUGGAGAAGAGAAUUGAUAUAUGUGUGUGAAGAUGAAGAUGAAGGAAGCCUACUUACUUGGAUCGAUGGAUCAAAGCAGCUCUCUGAUAAUUGCAGUAGCAACCAGAGCAAGCUCACGGAGAUCUUGGUUCACUUGGCUCAGCGGCGAUUCCAUCCAUUUCUCGAAGUUACCUUGGCAAAUCUCCGCCUCCCACGCCGCGUCGGACAUUCCGAAUUCGGCGAAUUUCGGAACGCCUUUUCGCAAACCGACAACCGCCUCCGGCACAUCCGCCUUCAGCACCGCCUCAUACGCAGCGGUGCAGUGUUCCAGCGCCUGCCUCUGCUCCGGAUGGAGUAACCACUGCUCGCUGAUCGCGGAUAGCGCUGUCUCCGCCUUGGCUCUGACAGCAUCCACCAUGAUGAGGCCGAGUCCCGGCACGUCGGCGGUGGCGCUGCAUGGAUCGGCGCGCAGCGUAGAGACGCAGAGGCGAUAAUUCGACGUCUUCCUGCACGUGGUUUCAAUCAGAUCGUCAUCCUUGACUCUGAGUCUGAGCUGCGUGAUGAUUGCUUGCGCGUGAAGAAUCGCGAGCAGAAUAUCUGAGAACUUCAUUCCGGUCCGGUCGGCGUUCGUUACUUUCAAUUGAGGAGUUGAGCUAAGCUCCGGCGAGAAUUGAUCCGUAUAUAAGGCAUAAACACUUACAUAAUCAUUUCAUUAUUUACUGAAUAAUAAUUUUGAUUAAUUA